UAGCUUAGGCUAAAGCACUUCGCUUACACCGAAUAGACGUCCACUAACCAGGACUACUUUAA
rnacentral:tRNA from 1 species